UACGAAGGGUGCUAGCGUUGUUCGGAAUUACUGGGCGUAAAGCGCGCGUAGGCGGUCUAACAAGUCAGGGGUGAAAUCCUUGGGCUCAACCCAAGAAUUGCCCUUGAAACUGUUAGACUUGAGUACUGGAGGGGAUAGCGGAAUUCCUAAUGUAGAGGUGAAAUUCGUAGAUAUUCGCAAGAACACCAGUGGCGAAGGCGGCUGUCUGGUCCGGUUCUGACGCUGAGGCGCGAAAGCGUGGGGAGCAAACAGG
rnacentral:rRNA from 1 species